UAAUACGUAGGGGCCUAGCGUUGUCCGGAUUUAUUGGGCGUAAAGAGCUCGUAGGCGGUUCGGCAAGUCGGAUGUGAAAUCUCCACGCUUAACGUGGAGGGGCCAUUCGAAACUGCCGUGACUCGAGUCCGGUAGGGGAGUGUGGAAUUCCCGGUGUAGCGGUGAAAUGCGCAGAUAUCGGGAGGAACACCAGUAGCGAAGGCGGCACUCUGGGCCGGUAC
rnacentral:rRNA from 1 species